GGGGAAUAUUGGGCAAUGGGCGAAAGCCUGACCCAGCGACGCCGCGUGAGGGAAGAAGAUCCUCGGAUUGUAAACCUUAGUCAACAGGGAAGAAGAAAGUGACGGUACCUGUGGAGGAAGCCACGGCUAACUACGUGCCAGCAGCCGCGGUAAUACGUAGGGGGCGAGCGUUGUCCGGAAUGAUUGGGCGUAAAGGGCGCGUAGGCGGCCUGGUAAGCCUGGAGUGAAAGUCCUGCUUUCAAGGUGGGAAUUGCUUUGGAUACUGUCGGGCUGGAGUGCAGGAGAGGUAAGCGGAAUUCCCGGUGUAGCGGUGAAAUGCGUAGAGAUCGGGAGGAACACCAGUGGCGAAGGCGGCUUACUGGACUGUAACUGACGCUGAGGCGCGAAAGCGUGGGGAGCAAACAGGAUUAGAUACCCUGGUAGU
rnacentral:rRNA from 1 species